CUGAGAUUGGCUCAGUUGGUCAGAGCAUGGUGCUAGCAACACCAUGGUCGUGAGUUUGAUCCCAGA